rnacentral:rRNA from 1 species
UGAAUACGAGACGCUAAGGCGUCGAAGUAGUGUAUGUCAUACUUCCAAGAAAAGCUUGCACUGUCAUAGAUAAAAAACGCCUGUACCAUAACCGACACAGGUGGGUAGGUAGAGUAUACUAAGGGGCGCGAGAUAACUCUCUCUAAGGAACUCGGCAAAAUAACUCCGUAACUUCGGGAGAAGGAGUGCCUUAUUCGUAAGGUUGCAAUAACAAGAUCCAAGCAACUGUUUAUCAAAAACACAGGUCUCCGCUAAGUCGUAAGACGAUGUAUGGGGGCUGACCCCUGCCCAGUGCCAGAAGGUUAAAGAAGUUGGUUAGCAAUUGCGAAGCUGAUAACUGAAGCCCUGGUGAACGGCGGCCGUAACUAUAACGGUCCUAAGGUAGCGAAAUUCCUUGUCGGGUAAGUUCCGACCCGCACGAAAGGCGUAAUGAUUUGGAUACUGUCUCGGAGAGGGGCUCGGUGAAAUAGACUUGUCUGUGAAGAUGCGGACUACCUGCACCAGGACAGAAAGACCCUAUGAAGCUUUACUGUAACUUGAAAUUGAAAUUGGACUUUAUUCGCGCAGUAUAGGUGGGAGGCGUUGAUUAUAAUCUUGUGGGAUUAUUGGAGCCAUCAGUGAGAUACCACUCUUGUAAUGUUAGAUUUCUAACUUUGAAUCAUUAUCUGGUCAAAGAACAGUUUCAGGCGGGCAGUUUGACUGGGGCGGUCGCCUCCUAAACGGUAACGGAGGCGUACAAAGGUUUCCUCUGAACGGUUAGAAAUCGUAUCUAGAGUGUAAAGGCAUAAGGAAGCUUGACUGUGAGACCUACAAGUCGAGCAGGGACGAAAGUCGGUCUUAGUGAUCUGACGGUACUGAGUGGAAAGGCCGUCACUCAACGGAUAAAAGUUACUCUAAGGAUAACAGGCUGAUCUCCCCCAAGAGUUCACAUCGACGGGGAGGUUUGGCACCUCGAUGUCGGCUCAUCGCAUCCUGGGGCGGUAGUACGUCCCAAGGGUUGGGCUGUUCGCCCAUGAAAGCGGUACGCGAGCUGGGUUCAGAACGUCGUGAGACAGUUCGGUCCAUAUCCGGUGUAGGCGUUAGAAUAUUGAGAGGAGCCUUCUUUAGUACGAGAGGACCGAGAAGGACAUACCUCUGGUGUACCAGUUAUCGUGCCAACGGUAAACGCUGGGUAGCUAUGUAUGGAGUGGAUAACCGCUGAAAGCAUCUAAGUGGGAAGCCCACCUCAAGAUAAGUAUUCUCAUC